GGUACAUGUGUGACGCAGGCAGAAGACUCUGGGUGGAAGGAGGCUCAGCUCAUCCUCACCGGUGGCUGGUGCCUUAAUGAUCCUUCUUGAGCAACGAGAACCACACUGGAGGCACAUUCGAUUCCGUGUGCUUGGCGGAAAAUUUUUAAUUAAAAACCAAUUUAAAUCAUACAGACGGUUCCAUUGGCCAUGUUACUCAAUGCAUGUAAGCCCCUAACCUCACAUCCCAGAGUGGAUGUGAGAUUGGCUGUGACCUGAAUCUGCUGGGUCCUCUGUCAAGCUUGGUUCACAUGUGUCACUAUCAUGAUGUCAUUUCAGAGUCUAAAGAUAAGGGAAGUAUUUUUUGUACAACGCGGCUCCCAUUGUGAACUAAGCCGUGUCCUCCCCCAAAUUCAUCUGUGGAGGCGCUCACCUCCCACGCGGCUGCAUUUGGAAAGAGAGACCGUACAGAGGACCUUAAGGUUAAACGAGGUCAUAAGGGUGGACCAGAGCCCAACAUGACUGAUGUCCUGAUAAGCAGAGCAAGAGAUCCAGGGAGGCUUGUGCGCGGAGAAAAGGCCACAUGAGGACACAAGGAGAAGGCAGCCCUCUGCAAGCCAGGAAGGGCGGCCUCGGGAGGAACCGGACCUGCCAGCACCUUGAUCUUGGACUUUCUAGCCUCCAGAACUGUGAGAAAAUACAUUUCUGUUUUUUAAGUCACCCAGUCUGUGGUAUUUUGUUGUGGCUGCCUGAGCAGAAAAUGCAGCUCCUAAAUGAAAGCCAGCCCUUCAUCUGGAGGUCACACAAAUGAAAGUGGUUCGUUCUGUGGCUAGAGGAGAAAUAGUCUACGCAGGACUCACUGAGAUGUGACAAUAGCAGCUGACACUUCCUGGGAGCCUUCACAUGCCUUACAUGCAAGAACUCAUCCAAAUCUCACAAUACGGUGAGGUGCCUGCUACGAUUACUCCCCCCACAGAGGAUGAUACCAAGGGCGCCCCGCUAGUGCGUGGUGGAGCUGGAGCACGAACCAGGGUGGUCUGGCUCCGACAGCAGGUGCUCAAUAGAUUAUCGGAGAAUUGAAUUAAAAGAAAAGCAGCUCUGUCUGAAUAAAGACAUCGGGGUUAGACAGAAGCUGGAAGAAUUGUCCCUUCUCCCCCCGACAGCAGACAUUGCUGGGAGGCAAUGGAGAGCCGGCUGGAGGUGGCGCCUCGGUGAAUAUUUGCACAAAGUCAUCUGGGAAGGCAUGUUCUGUACCUUAUCUACAGCCAACAGUUUGUCAUCUUCGGCACCAUUGGUGCCUGGAAUGUCCUCAGCUGUUAUCACAUCAACCACCCCGGGGAGUUCAAGGGCCUUGGACAAAUCAACUGAUCUGAAAAGAGAGAAAUAUUUAAGAGAUCCUUUGGGUUUGGGACAUCACAGGAGAAUGGACACAUUCCUCCCGGGGAAUCCCCAGGUGUGCUUUUAAAAGGCUUUUGAAAGCUUUUCAUUUACUUACAUGAUUUUUGCAUGGGCUCUGGUACUGGUCACCAAAGCCAUGAAAAGUUCUUUAUCCACCGUGGGGAUGUCAUCGCAAAAUAUGGCUUCACCUGUGGCAUGUUUGAGACCUGACAGGUGCAUGAUGGGCCGUCCGACUGGAUCCUGGAGGGCUUGGUGAGAGUCCACACUCUGCAGAGGAAGACGUGAGAUGCCCUGGGAGCCUUUAAUCUCAGGAGUGGCCCGGCCAAUCACUGACCCUCCUGACUCGGGAUGGAGAGAUCAACGGUCACCCUCGGGCAACAAACUGGGCCAGAUGAUGAACGUGACAGUUUUAUGAUGUAACUAGACUGGGGACUUGUCAUUUUAGUUAUAUGGCAAUGCCUUCGACAGGGCCAACCUUUUGGCAAAAUUGGGAAGUAGGUGAAGGGGCACCCAGCUUCUCCUUUUGGCAUCUUUCCAAGUGGGGACCCUGGACCCCUUUCUGCUGGCACUCAGAGGGUCUCCCUGUCCUGCUUUCUUGCCUUUCCAAUGAUCAACCUAUUCAACUAUAAAGCGAUCAUGAUGAUGAGGCCUAAA